GGCGAGAUGGCCGAGCGGUCUAAGGCGUUAGACUAAGGUUACCUGCUCUGAGCAGGAUUUCAUCUAAUCUCUUCGGGGGCGUGGGUUCGAAUCCCACUCUCGUCA
rnacentral:tRNA from 1 species